GAUGAACGCUAGCGACAGGCUUAACACAUGCAAGUCGAGGGGCAUCGGGGGUGAAAGCUUGCUUUUACCUGCCGGCGACCGGCGCACGGGUGAGUAACACGUAUGCAACCUGCCCACCACUGGGGGAUAAGCGGAAGAAAUUCCGUCUAAUACCGCAUAAUAACCUUUGGGGACAUCCCUGGAGGUUUAAAGGAGCGAUCCGGUGGCGGAUGGGCAUGCGGCGCAUUAGCUAGUUGGCGGGGUAACGGCCCACCAAGGCGACGAUGCGUAGGGGUUCUGAGAGGAAGGUCCCCCACACUGGUACUGAGACACGGACCAGACUCCUACGGGAGGCAGCAGUGAGGAAUAUUGGGUCCAAAUGGGGCGCAGGCCUGAACCAGCCAAGUCGCGUGCAGGAUGACGGCCCUAUGGGUUGUAAACUGCUUUUANGCGGGGAUAAAGUGUGGGACGUGUCCCAUAUUGCAGGUACCGCAUGAAUAAGGACCGGCUAAUUCCGUG
rnacentral:rRNA from 1 species